rnacentral:lncRNA from 1 species
UUAUGUUAUUGUUUGGUGUGUUUGCUUCAGCUUCUAUGAUUUACAAGUACACAUGAAUGAACAAUUAGUCUAUUAUUAUGUUCAACUAUAAUGUUACACUAAUGAUCUACUCUUUGAUUUUGGCAGUAGCAUAACCGGAUAGGGGGAGUUCCCGAGGUCUAACCGACUACUCAAUUUCAACCUACAAGUGUAAAAAAUUGUAAAACAAAUAAGUUUUCUUGUAUUAAGGUGUAACCACUAAAAAUUUAUAUGCAACUACUAGUAUAUGUUGAAUGAAAAAAUGGAUGUUUUUAAUGCUUUAAAUUUUUGCACCCCGAACCAGUCUAGAGUAAAGAGAAAAAAUUUUGCACCCAAACCAGUCUAGUCUAGAGUAAAGAUUAUGUGUGUGUGUGAGAGAGAGAGGAUGUUGUAUGAUUUAGAAUGAGAAAUACAAUAUAUGAAAGGUUAUACAAGCUCUAAACCAUUAAGCUCGCAUCUGCAUUUUCUUUGACUUCUAAACCACAUCACUCUUGUAUUCCCAGCAUCACAACAUAUAAAUAUAUAAUCUAACGCGACCACCGUUUUUAGCCAAACUUGGUCCAGAAAAAUCAUAUCAAGUGAGUAGACAAGUGAAUUUGAAGAAUCAACCAUCAUAAGCGGGAGAGAUUUGAGCCAACAGGAAAGUAAGAGACUGGGAUCGGAGCUCCACGUGCUUUUGAAACUACUUGUUUUGCACCUUUCUUCGGAGCUUCUUCCUCGGAAACUCGUGGUGAGGAAAUGCAGCAAAAAACAGUCGAGAAGAAGCUAGCCAUAGCUUUGUGUAUGUAAAUCUCAACUCUCAAGCCUAAAGAUAGAGUAGAAAGAAUAUGUAAUUAUUUCUAGAUUAAUUUGUUUCUAUAUUAAUCCGGCAAUGAGUUUAUGUAUAUAUAUAUAGAACGGCGGAACGGAUG